rnacentral:rRNA from 1 species
GACGAACGCUGGCGGCGUGCUUAACACAUGCAAGUCGAACGGAAAGGCCCUGCUUGCAGGGUGCUCGAGUGGCGAACGGGUGAGUAACACGUGGGUGAUCUGCCCCUUAUUUUGGGAUAAGCCUGGGAAACUGGGUCUAAUACUGGAUAGGACCAUGCUGUAGGUGGUGUGGUGGAAAGAUUAGUUUCGGUAAGGGAUGAGCUCGCGGCCUAUCAGCUUGUUGGUGGGGUAAUGGCCUACCAAGGCGUCGACGGGUAGCCGGCCUGAGAGGGUGGACGGCCACAUUGGGACUGAGGUACGGCCCAGACGCCUACGGGAGGCAGCAGUGGGGAAGAUUGCACAAUGGGCGCAAGCCUGAUGCAGCGACGCCGCGUGGGGGAUGACGGCCUUCGGGUUGUAAACUCCUUUCAGCCAUGACGAAGCCCUUGUGGUGACGGUAGUGGUAGAAGAAGCACCGGCUAACUACGUG